rnacentral:rRNA from 1 species
GAUGAACGCUGGCGGCGUGCCUAAUACAUGCAAGUCGAGCGAACAGACGAGGAGCUUGCUCCUCUGACGUUAGCGGCGGACGGGUGAGUAACACGUGGAUAACCUACCUAUAAGACUGAGAUAACUUCGGGAAACCGGAGCUAAUACCGGAUAAUAUAUUGAACCGCAUGGUUCAAUAGUGAAAGACGGUUUUGCUGUCACUUAUAGAUGGAUCCGCGCCGCAUUAGCUAGUUGGUAAGGUAACGGCUUACCAAGGCAACGAUGCGUAGCCGACCUGAGAGGGUGAUCGGCCACACUGGAACUGAGACACGCUCCAGACUCCUACGGGAGGCAGCAGUAGGGAAUCUUCCGCAAUGGGCGAAAGCCUGACGGAGCAACGCCGCGUGAGUGAUGAAGGUCUUCGGAUCGUAAAACUCUGUUAUUAGGGAAGAACAAAUGUGUAAGUAACUAUGCACGUCUUGACGGUACCUAAUCAGAAAGCCACGGCUAACUACGUG